UACGGCUGUAUCACGUUGAAACACCAGUUCUCGUACGAUCACCGAAGUUAAGCAACGCCGAGCCUGGUCAGUACAUAGAUGGGUAACCACCUUGGAAUACUAGUUGAUGUAUG